rnacentral:rRNA from 1 species
UACGUAGGGCGCAAGCGUUAUCCGGAAUUAUUGGGCGUAAAGAGCUCGUAGGCGGUUUGUCGCGUCUGCCGUGAAAGUCCAGGGCUCAACCCUGGGAUGCCGGUCGAUACUGCCGGACUAGAGUUCGGAAGAGGCGAGUGGAAUUCCCGGUGUAGCGGUGAAAUGCGCAGAUAUCGGGAGGAACACCAAUGGCGAAGGCAGCUCGCUGGGACGUUACUGACGCUGAGACGCGAAAGCGUGGGGAGCAAACAGG